rfam:Triticum aestivum genome assembly, contig: Triticum_aestivum_CS42_TGACv1_scaffold_194851_3AL
GUAGUACUCCCUCUAUUCGGAAAUACUUGUCCUAAUAAUGAAUAAAAUGGAUAUAUCUAUAACUAAAAUAAAUCUAGAUAUAACCAUUUUAGGACAAGUAUUUCUGGACAGAGAGAGUAUUUA